rnacentral:rRNA from 1 species
UACGGAGGGGGCGAGUGUUGUUCGGAAUUACUGGGCGUAAAGGGCGCGCAGGCGGCCUGGCAAGUCGAGUGUGAAAUCCCUUGGCUUAACUGAGGAAUGGCGCUCGAAACUACCUCGCUGGAGGGCGGGAGAGGAAGGUGGAACUCUCGGUGUAGGGGUGAAAUCUGUAGAUAUCGAGAGGAACACCGGUGGCGAAGGCG